GAUGAACGCAAGCUACAGGCUUAACACAUGCAAGUCGAGGGGAAACGGCAUCGAAAGCUUGCUUUUGAUGGGCGUCGACCGGCGCACGGGUGAGUAACGCGUAUCCAACCUGCCCAUCACUUGGGAAUAACCUUGCGAAAGUAAGACUAAUGCCCAAUGACAUCCCACGAAGGCAUCCGAAUGGGAUUAAAGAUUUAUCGGUGAUGGAUGGGGAUGCGUCUGAUUAGCUUGUUGGCGGGGUGACGGCCCACCAAGGCAACGAUCAGUAGGGGUUCUGAGAGGAAGGUCCCCCACAUUGGAACUGAGACACGGUCCAAACUCCUACGGGAGGCAGCAGUGAGGAAUAUUGAUCAAUGGGCGAGAGCCUGAACCAGCCAAGUAGCGUGCAGGAUGACGGCCCUAUGGGUUGUAAACUGCUUUUAUAAGGGAAUAAAGUGGGUCACGUGUGACUUUUUGCAUGUACCUUAUGAAUAAGGACCGGCUAAUUCCGUG
rnacentral:rRNA from 1 species